rnacentral:misc_RNA from 1 species
CCAAUAGCGUAUAUUAAAGUUGUUGCAGUUAAAAAGCUCGUAGUUGAAUUUCGGGAUUGACACAUCGGUCGUGCCUUAAGGGGUAUGAACUGGUGUAGUCAAUUUCUCACCUUCUGGAGAACCGCGAUGCCCUUAAUUGGGUGUCGCGGGGAACCAGGACCUUUACUUUGAAAAAAUUAGAGUGUUUAAAGCAGGCAUUUUGCUUGAAUACAUUAGCAUGGAAUAAUAAAAUAGGACGGCAUGAUUCUAUUUUGUUGGUUUCUAGGAUCACCGUAAUGAUUAAUAGGGAUAGUUGGGGGCAUUAGUAUUCAAUUGUCAGAGGUGAAAUUCUUGGAUUUAUUGAAGACUAACUACUGCGAAAGCAUUUGCCAAGGAUGUUUUCAUUAAUCAAGAACGAAAGUUAGGGGAUCGAAGACGAUCAGAUACCGUCGUAGUCUUAACCAUAAACGAUGCCGACCAGCGAUCCGCCGGAGUUCCUCCGAUGACUCGGCGGGCAGCUUCCG